rnacentral:ncRNA from 2 species
GGCGUCCACCACGGGAGCUCGCGGCAGCGAGCUGAGAGGGAGCUGAGCCGCUCCGACCGUCGAACCUGAUCCGGGUCAUGCCGGCGAAGGAAGCGAGGAGCAGCCGUGCU